rnacentral:miRNA from 1 species
UCGUUGAAGCAUUCUCUCAGGGCUGUCAGGUAGUAAGUUUGUAAAUCAGUUUUGAAAACUCACUACCUGACAGCCCUGAGAGAAUGCUUCAACGAAG